GCAGUUUUCUUUAGCAUAGUCUUCUUAUCCCAUUUUAUAUAAAAUGUUUAGUUAUUUAAAGGUUGGCAGUUUUUUUGCCCUUUGGGAGUUUUUGGUUAUCAGUCUCAUCAUGGGUUCAGCAGCUGGCGACGAUGGUUAUGACGAAGAAGAUAAAUAGGGACCGUGCCGCAUGGACAACCACUCAGCACUUAGGAACCAGCAACUAUUAGAUAAAAAUGAUAAAACAGUG